CAUGCAGUCGAACGCUUUUUCUUUCACCGGAGCUUGCUCCAUCGAAAGAAGAGGAGUGGCGAACGGGUGAGUAACACGUGGGUAACCUGCCCAUCAGAAGGGGAUAACACUUGGAAACAGGUGCUAAUACCGUAUAACAGUAGAAACCGCAUGGUUUCUAUUUGAAAGGCGCUUUUGCGUCACUGAUGGAUGGACCCGCGGUGCAUUAGCUAGUUGGUGAGGUAACGGCUCACCAAGGCAACGAUGCAUAGCCGACCUGAGAGGGUGAUCGGCCACAUUGGGACUGAGACACGGCCCAAACUCCUACGGGAGGCAGCAGUAGGGAAUCUUCGGCAAUGGACGAAAGUCUGACCGAGCAACGCCGCGUGAGUGAAGAAGGUUUUCGGAUCGUAAAACUCUGUUGUUAGAGAAGAACAAGGAUGAGAGUAAAACGUUCAUCCCUUGACGGUAUCUAACCAGAAAGCCACGGCUAACUACGUGCCAGCAGCCGCGGUAAUACGUAGGUGGCAAGCGUUGUCCGGAUUUAUUGGGCGUAAAGCGAGCGCAGGCGGUUUCUUAAGUCUGAUGUGAAAGCCCCCGGCUCAACCGGGGAGGGUCAUUGGAAACUGGGAAACUUGAGUGCAGAAGAGGAGAGUGGAAUUCCAUGUGUAGCGGUGAAAUGCGUAGAUAUAUGGAGGAACACCAGUGGCGAAGGCGGCUCUCUGGUCUGUAACUGACGCUGAGGCUCGAAAGCGUGGGGAGCAAACAGGAUUAGAUACCCUGGUAGUCCACGCCGUAAACGAUGAGUGCUAAGUGUUGGAGGGUUUCCGCCCUUCAGUGCUGCAGCUAACGCAUUAAGCACUCCGCCUGGGGAGUACGACCGCAAGGUUGAAACUCAAAGGAAUUGACGGGGGCCCGCACAAGCGGUGGAGCAUGUGGUUUAAUUCGAAGCAACGCGAAGAACCUUACCAGGUCUUGACAUCCUUUGACCACUCUAGAGAUAGAGCUUCCCCUUCGGGGGCAAAGUGACAGGUGGUGCAUGGUUGUCGUCAGCUCGUGUCGUGAGAUGUUGGGUUAAGUCCCGCAACGAGCGCAACCCUUAUGUUAGUUGCCAUCAUUUAGUUGGGCACUCUAGCGAGACUGCCG
rnacentral:rRNA from 1 species